UUUAACUGAGCGUUCAGUUACUUGACGUAGACCCGAAACCGGGCGACCUACCCAUGAGCAGGAUGAAGCGAAAGUAAAAUUUCGUGGAGGUCCGAACCCACGAGCGUUGAAAAGCUCGGGGAUGACUUGUGGGUAGCGGUGAAAUUCCAAUCGAGCCCGGAGAUAGCUGGUUCUCCCCGAAAUAGCUUUAGGGCUAGCCUCAAGGUGAGAGAUACGGAGGUAGAGCACUGAAUGUCCUAGGGGGUAUUGCACCUACCGAAGACUAUCAAACUCCGAAUGCCGUCAUCUUAUACUUGGGAGUCAGACUGUGGGUGAUAAGAUUCAUAGUCGAAAGGGCAACAGCCCAGAUCGUCAGCUAAGGUCCCUAAAUGUAAGUUAAGUGGUAAAGGAUGUGGGAUUGCACAGACAACCAGGAUGUUGGCUUAGAAGCAGCCACUCAUUCAAAGAGUGCGUAAUAGCUCACUGGUCGAGUGAUCCUGCGCCGAAGAUUUCCGGGGCUAAAACUUACUACCGAAGCUACGGCAUCAGUAAUGAUGGGUAGGGGAGCUUCCCAUACGGGUUGAAGCAUGACCGUAAGGACAUGUGGACAGUAUGGGAGUGAGAAUGUUGGCAUGAGUAGCGAGAUGUGGGUGAGAAUCCCACAGGCCGUAAACCCAAGGUUUCCAGGGGAAGGUUCGUCCGCCCUGGGUUAGUCGGGACCUAAGCUGAGGCCGAAAGGCGUAGGUGAUGGACAACAGGUUGAUAUUCCUGUACUACCGAUAACCGUUUGAGAGAAGGGAUGACACAGUAGGAUAA
rnacentral:rRNA from 1 species